rnacentral:rRNA from 1 species
GACGAACGCUGGCGGCGUGCUUAACACAUGCAAGUCGAACGGAAAGGCCCUGCUUUUGUGGGGUGCUCGAGUGGCGAACGGGUGAGUAACACGUGAGUAACCUGCCCUUGACUUUGGGAUAACUUCAGGAAACUGGGGCUAUACCGGAUAGGAGCUCCUGCUGCAUGGUGGGGGUUGGAAAGUUUCGGCGGUUGGGGAUGGACUCGCGGCUUAUCAGCUUGUUGGUGGGGUAGUGGCUUACCAAGGCUUUGACGGGUAGCCGGCCUGAGAGGGUGACCGGCCACAUUGGGACUGAGAUACGGCCCAGAUUCCUACGGGAGGCAGCAGUGGGGAAUAUUGCACAAUGGGCGGAAGCCUGAUGCAGCGACGCCGCGUGCGGGAUGACGGCCUUCGGGUUGUAAACCGCUUUCGCCUGUGACGAAGCGUGAGUGACGGUAAUGGGUAAAGAAGCACCGGCUAACUACGUG